UAAUUGUAUAACUUUUAUAUGAAGGUAUUCGCUGAUUUCAGCUAUUUCCAGGAUCUUGGUCACAUUUUUCAAUUUAUUUUGCCCUUAUUUGGCAUCUUAGCUUCUAAGCCUUUAUUGAGAUUUCAACGAACGGCCGCACACACAGACGGAUUAAUUGACAUAUGAUUUUACCCUGAUCAAUUAGAUGGAUUAAAACUAAAUAUCUAACAACAUGGUCUUCUAAAAGCUACGAAUUCAUAGUUACUAUUCAUUUGGAAAAUAUUGCUAAAACCUUUAGCUGAACCCAGUGUGCUUCACUACCCCUUUUGCUUUUAUAUGCAUUAAAAGUUUUAUAUACGCAUAUUUUGUGGUCUUUAAAUAGAAAUAAAACAAAUCCAAAAAAUACCAUUUCGUAGGAACAUGAAAAAAUAAAAAAAUCGGAAAACUACCAUUUAAAUGAAAACCGUUAUAUGUGGACUAUACGAAUACGGGGACCUGCAUACGAAUUUUUUUGUCAUAGGCUGUAGUGCUCAUUACGAACUUCAAAUACGAAAUUUUUUACAAUUGCGGUGAAUAAUGUCGUAAAAAUCAUGAAAAUAUGGAGUGUCGUGGGCUAUACGGAGACUUGGACCUCCAUACGAAAUGUUUUUCCAUAAAUUGUAGCACCCAUUUAGAUCUUUCAAAUUUGAAACGAUUCCGGUGAAUAAUGUUGCUGUUAUAUGGGGGCUUAACGAAGACAUGAACCUGCAUAAAAUGUUGCUGAAAUCAUCAAAAUACCGAUCAUCGGGGGGUACCGUUAUAUGGGGGCUAUACGAAGACGUGGACUUGCAUACAAAAAUUUUUGUCAUAGGCUGUAGUACACAUUACGAACUUCAAAUAAUUCCGGUAAAUAAUGUAGUUAAAAUCAUGAAAAUACCGAAUAUCGGGGGUUACCGUUUUAUGGUGCUAUACGAAAACGUAAACCGACAUGGCCCAUUUACGAAAUUACUUUCCCUAUUGGUAAUCUAUGCAUGUAUGCAAAAUUGUACCCUUCAGACAAACAGACGGACACCGCUAGAUCAUCUUAGAAUUUUACGCUGAUCCAUAAUAUAUAUACCUUGUAGGGUCUAUUAUAAAUAUUUCGUGGAGUUACAAACGGAAUGACAAUAAUAUACCCUCCAUAGAAUGGUUGAGGAUAUAAAAAUAAGGUGUCAUCGUUUUAUAACAGUUAGGGACCCCAUAAAGUAUGUAAAUGAGCGUGCUCCUAGUCUCAAUUCGGUCGUAUGUGCCAAAUUCCUUCCCAUUUGGGCAAAUAUUAGACGUUUGGUGCACAAUAAAAGGUAAAUCGGACGAAGUUAUAUAUGGGAGCUACAUCCAAAUCUGAACCGAUCUCGGUAAAAUUAAGCAAAGGUAUUUCUGAGCUGCAUUUGAUAUAUUUCCCCAAAUAUUGUUGUUGCAUAGUGCAUAUUACGGCGUCGGUGGACAAAAAUAACAAAUCGGAUGAACAAUAUAUAUGGGAGCUAUAGCUAUAUCUGAACCGAUUUCGAUCAAAUGUGGCAUACAUAUUUUCAGGCCUAAUUUGGGUGUAUAUGCAAAAUUCCAUACAAUUCGGUCUGAUAUUACACGUUUGGUGCACAAUAAAAGGCAAAUCGGACGAAGGUAUAUAUGGGAGCUAUAUCUAAAUUUUGACCGAUUAUCUCCAAUUUCAAUAGGGUUCGUCCUUGGGCCAAACGAAAGACCUUUGCAAAAUUUCAUCUGGAUCGGGCAAUAAAUGCGACCUGUACUUUGUUUACAAAAAUACAUGGACAGACGGACGGACGGACAUGCAUAAAUCGACUCAGAAUGUGAUUCUAUGCAGAUCAUCAAAAGGAACUAUGGGUCUAUCUCGUUUCCUUCUGCCUGUUACAAACAAAUGCACAAAGACAUAAUACCCUGACUACCUUGUGGUGUAGGGUAUAAAAAAGUACUGGUUAGGGGUUUAAAGGUUAGUCAUUAUUAUAAAGGUUUUAGCAUCAUUUUCAAAUCAAAAGUAAUUAUGAAUUAGAGGACCAUAUUAUAAGGUAUUUAGUUUUGUCCACAUAAUGGCAUGUUAAAAUCCAUAAUGGUAAAUAUUUAGAUUAAUCUUAGUACCAUUUUACUCCCCGCUGACAAAAAACUGACUACGGGGAUGAUCCCCUAAAAAAAGAAAAAUAAAUAUGGAAGAAGGAAAGAAAAAGUUACGGUGCAGGGCCUAAAUAACCCAGUACCGGCGGGUGUUUGUGAUCCAACCACGAGUCACACCCUGUCGUCAUCCAACGAUCGUAUGCAAAUUUCUCCCGUAGAUGUGGGUGUCUUGGCAUCUGUGGUCGAAGGUAUUGCUACAAGCACGCAGCCUUCGAGCAACAAAACAGACAGAGGGUCUGAGGAACUCAGGGGAGGCAUACACUCGACCCAGUCUUCAACGACAGGUAGCGCCUCAGACUCCGAGUCCGACAGCAGUGGCCACAAUACUACCAUCCUGCGAAUCCCUACAAAGGAAGAGACGAUAGAAGAAGUGAGUGAUAGCUUGGCGAAGCUCACAACCAGAAUGAAACGGCGAAGGCUCAAAAGGCAACAUAAUAGCAAAAACGCCAAGGCACAGGAUGUUGUAAAGGGGCUGCAAAUACUCCCCCACUCCGUUGUAGGCACGGAAGAGGACCCCUGAGAACAGAGCAGUGCGAGGCCGUCGAAAAAGAAAAAGAGCUUCCCACCUGCAGAUGCUCCGGGCAAACUAAGUCAAGAACCUCGCAAAGGAGGCUGUAACAGGAAUCCUUUCGACGACCGUGAAAUCGACUGCUAAACCAGGGGGUUUCCAACAGAAGAGGAAACGGACCGAGUAAACGGGUACGAUGCCGCCUUCUUACGCAAAGACAGCCAAAAAAGAGUUGAGGGACGAAAUGCAUUAUGCAUUGAUCGAUACCAACAAAGGUUCAGGCAGCUUACAUAAAGACCAUUUGGAAGCAUUAGAUGAAAUGGUCAACAAAAUCUUGGAUCACAUCAUGGAAGGUGGAGAUCCAAUACCUAUCGUGAGCAGCGGCAUGAAGAAUAACAAAAUGUUCUUCAAGUUUGCUGCGCAUGCCAACACUGGCGCCCUAAAGGGGAUUAUCGAGAAGAUAAAAAAAACCAUGGGAAAACGGCAACCUCAAGUUGGUGAGGUGAAACGAAAUUCCUCGCCUAACUAAAACGACGGUUUACGUCAGAGGAUUUGGCAGCAAAUUCGAGACGGAACGUAUGCUCAAAGUCUUUGGAGUAAGACUUUUGACGUGAAGAGGUGGGAAGUCUUUCACAGGGAGAAGAAGGAGGAUGACCCUCUCCUUGUGAUUGGAGUUGACAAUCUCUCCAUGGCCAGUCUGACAAAGACUAAGUGCCAUGCCCUUCUAUGUCUCGAAGGCUGUCAGGUUCAAAAAUAAUAAGGUGAGGAUCGGAGACGAGGACACCAAGUGUAGCAGCGUGGAGGAGAAAGAAGACCCACCGAGCAACACAGAACAGGGAGUCGGUGACAAUAUUACCGACUCUCAAGAAGCCCAUCUACUGGAGGACCAAUGAUCGAGGUCAUCCAGGUCAACCUUCAUCGGAGCGAGACGGCAACCUUGGCUCUGAUGAAACUAAUAAAUUCAGGGUUGUCAACAUCGGACGCAACAGUACUGAGGCAGGGGAAUGGAAACAUAUACCUAGCGUCUAUAUACCAACCGUUCGACAUGACGACAUUACCACCUACGUCGGAACUGCAGCUACUGAAGUUGAACACGCCUACAGCCGAUGACUACAUUGAAAAUUUAUCAAACAUGUGGAAGCUGAAACACUUACAAAAAUAACUUUAUCGGCAAGUAACUCUAAUUCUUAGUUAUAUUCCAUUAACUAUUACCAUUUAUGUACUAUUUCUUUGCAUUUCAGAACACCGUAUUACUCAUGAAGUGUUGAGCAUAUUGACACCACGGCAUAUCGAGAUAUUAUUUCAGGGCUUGGCAGUAGGAGAUAUGGCGAUAUUUCAAAAGAAUUUAACACGGUGGCAACUAGAAUCCAACAAUGCUGAAAAAACACCUAAAACACAUACCAGUUUGGAAUCCACAGUUUGUGGUUUUGUCAAAAAACCAGUUCCAGCAGUUAAAGAUGUGCUGAUGGAUUCACAGAAUGGGAAAUUGCUUUUAAGGUAUUAUGCAACGCACAUUUUUUAACGAUGAACAGCGCAACUUACUCAUCAACACACUUGCAAAGUAUAUUGAGGCUAAGGGAUAUCCUUGUUCACUUGCGGAUAGUGAUGAGAUAGAAAAUCAAAUUUGCUUGCUAUUUGCAACGGAGUCGAAGGUAAGCGCUGUAUUUAUAUGCCAACAUAAUUGUCUUUUAAUAUAAUCUUUAAAUUCAAUUUCAUUUACGAUUAUUACACUUCAGAAAAAAGGGGUAGGUUGUAUAAUAAAAUAUACAAUUUAAAACGAUACACCAAAAGUCUAACGAAGGAGAAAGAACCUAUUUGUGGAUCUGUGAAUGAAACGAUCCAAAGCAAAAAAAAUUCAUAUAGGAAUAUAUCAAUAUUUAUAUAUUAUUUAUUUUUAAAUAUAUAUCAUUAGUUUUUAGUCCCAGAAGCUGAGUCAGAUUUCGCUCUCCGUUGUAUUCGAAACCAAGAUACUACAGCUGACGAAUUCGAUAUUUACUGGAGAAAAUAUUCUCAGCUUAGAUUUUCCCAAAUUGAAAAUUCAGAGAGCACAAAUGACAUUUUGAAAUGUUGGCCGGAGUACAAAAAAGGCCUUCUGGAAUUAAUUUGAUCGAUAUCGAUUUUGUGCUCAAAUACCCUAAAUCCUUUUCUUAUUUUAAAAUGGCCAAUUUACGAGAGAAAAAUUUGACACUUAAUAGCAUGCAAAAUUUCUUCCAAAAUCGUAACUAAUAUCGAUAAAUACGACAAAGAAUCGAAAAUUUUCUUCAUAUUUUGGAAUUUGCACUAUCUUUUUCCACCGCAACAAAGGCUAAUCACUGACAAAACUGGCGCAAAAAAUAAACGGAAGUACUCCAUACCUGAUUCGCAUAAUUAAUUUGCUCUUGUUGUCGAAAACAACAAAGAAUGGAUCUUAAAGUGGAACUGUUGAAACUGCGCAAUACCAAUAUCCAGCCUCUACUGCUUGUUACAAGAGAACCGCAUAGUGUCAAACAAAUACGCAUUUAUUUCGAUGGAAUACGUUUUCCAAUUUUAAAAGUUUUAACGGAUGUAGAUUUAUUGUUUAAAAUAUUCUUUGUAUUUAAUUUACAAUUUCCUGAUGAAUCAUAUAUUUUUUUACAACUUUAUUCAAACCUUUUUUAUGAAAUGAAAUCAAAAAUAUCUAUGAUACAAAACGAAAUUUUAAAUUUAAAUUUAGCGUAAAAGCUAAAAUUAUAUAUGUAAUCAUUUAAUUCCCUUAAUAUAUAAAUAUCACAUACAAUUA